CCUACGGGUGGCUGCAGUGAGGAAUAUUGGUCAAUGGGCGGGAGCCUGAACCAGCCAAGCCGCGUGAAGGAAGAAGGCGCCAGGCGUCGUAAACUUCUUUUGUCGGGGAACAAAGGGCGCCACGCGUGGCGUUGUGAGUGUACCCGAAGAAAAAGCAUCGGCUAACUCCGUGCCAGCAGCCGCGGUAAUACGGAGGAUGCGAGCGUUAUCCGGAUUUAUUGGGUUUAAAGGGUGCGUAGGCGGUCCGGAAAGUCAGCGGUAAAAGCCCGGGGCUCAACCCCGGCGAGCCGUUGAAACUGUCGGACUAGAGACGGCGAGAAGUACGCGGAAUGCGCGGUGUAGCGGUGAAAUGCUUAGAUAUCACGAAGAACCCCGAUUGCGAAGGCAGCCUGCCGCAGCGUUACUGACGCUGAAGCUCGAAAGCGCGGGUAUCGAACAGGAUUAGAUACCCGAGUAGUC
rnacentral:rRNA from 1 species